GCAUUGAGAGUUGAAAGAAACGAGAGAGAUGAUGAAAAAAUAGAAAAUUCAUUCUACAGUUUCUGUGCUCCUCUCUCUCUCAUCAUGCCAGAGGACCAAAACAGAGAGAGAGGAUGCAAAAUUGUGCAUAGAAGGAAUACUAUAUCAGAUAAUAUAAAAUUGAAUGAGAGAUCUGGAACUAAAUUCCUUAGCCAAUUCAACCAAAGCAAACUAAAUUGCUUAGCAUAACAUGACGAACAGACCAAGACGGAGACAGCGACAGCAGAGAUGCAGCAGUCGGAAGGCAUAAAAUUGGCUCAAGGAUGGCUACAAUCUGCAGAGGUAUCGCCGGCGCGCUCGAACGGAAGUUUACGCAGUGGUGGGUGUGGUAAAAUGUUACUUUUAAAAUAAUAUUUAACCGGUUUGUAACCAGUUAUAUGUAAUUUAAUUAAUUUCUUUUAUUAAAUUAUAAUUAUUGUAAAUCAUUGAUUUAAAUUCUCUUUACAUCUUAUUGUCU
rnacentral:lncRNA from 1 species